rnacentral:snoRNA from 2 species
CCGCAUGAGUUGCGUCCUGUUGUAAAUAUGGACAAACAGUAAAGUUGAUGAAGUUUAAGUGAGCACUAUGUCAGUCAUUGAUGCUCAUAAAAGGCCAUCACACAUAG